GAACGGUUAGCUCAGUUGGUUAGAGCACCGGCACCGAACGCCGGAGGUCGUGGGUUCGAAUCCCGCAUCCUUGUUCA